UGGGGAAUAUUGCACAAUGGGCGCAAGCCUGAUGCAGCCAUGCCGCGUGUAUGAAGAAGGCCUUCGGGUUGUAAAGUACUUUCAGCGAGGAGGAAGGCGUUGUGGUUAAUAACCGCAACGAUUGACGUUACUCGCAGAAGAAGCACCGGCUAACUCCGUGCCAGCAGCCGCGGUAAUACGGAGGGUGCAAGCGUUAAUCGGAAUUACUGGGCGUAAAGCGCACGCAGGCGGUCUGUCAAGUCGGAUGUGAAAUCCCCGGGCUCAACCUGGGAACUGCAUCCAAAACUGGCAGGCUAGAGUCUUGUAGAGGGGGGUAGAAUUCCAGGUGUAGCGGUGAAAUGCGUAGAGAUCUGGAGGAAUACCGGUGGCGAAGGCGGCCCCCUGGACAAAGACUGACGCUCAGGUGCGAAAGCGUGGGGAGCAAACA
rnacentral:rRNA from 1 species